UUGAUAGUAAGUCAGUGGUGAAAGCCUACAGCUUAACUGUAGAACUGCCGUUGAUACUGCUAGUCUUGAGUAUAGUUGAGG
rnacentral:rRNA from 1 species